GUGAUAGCGUUAGCAGCACGUAUACUAAUAUGGGUACAAUACAGAGAAGAUUAGCAUGGCCCCGGUGCAAGGAUGACAUGCAAAAUCGUGACGCGUUACCAUGGUUC